rnacentral:lncRNA from 1 species
AAUAUAUAUAUAUAUAAUGUCAUUGUGUUGAUGAUGCCGUAUUAAUUUAAAUUAUCAUAUACUCUAUAACUUAUAAAUAGUAUUAUUGUGCAAUGUUGUGAGAAAUUCACACCACAACGACGGUUAUUUGCAAGCAACAUAUAUACGGACCAAAAUCGCGAGAGUCACAUCGCGACCACAACUCGAAUGAGACUAUUUUUUAAAAUCUUGCAGGCAUCCAUUAGAGUUAAGUAUAACUAUAAUACCUAAAUAAAAUAAAUAACAAUAUAUUCAAAUUCACCACUUCUGUCUCAAGUUGAAUAGCUAUUCUCGACCGUUGUUAGGUCAUUCACAAAUGAUAUCGCAACAUAUUAAUAAUUAAAAAUUAGUGGUUAAUAGACAAAGAUAAUGCCUUUUAAUAUAAAAAUAAUCUUCGCUUUCUCAAUCGCCAAAAUAAAUAGCACGAACAUAUUCAAUCUUUAGUGACCAAUAGCGAUCGGAGACAAUUUUUUUUGUAGUAUUAUCAAAUUAGUAUCCAAAACUUGAGUCUCUAAAUGAUAUUUCUAAUGUUGUGCUUGACUUUAAGAUGAAUGUAAUAAUUAGAUAUGGAAUAUAUAUUAAUUCCGUGUUAAAUUUAAAAUAAAAUGUAAGUUAAGUUAAAGAAAAAUCUCAAUUAUUAAAAUUUUAUAGUUAAUGUAGGGUGAAAACUGACAUAACAAAAUAAUUUUUAAUUUAAAUACUAAAAAUACUAUAAGAUUGUAAUGAAUGUAUGAAAAAUGAAUACUUGAAUUGAUACCUAAAAUUUAUAAAAAGAGAUAGUCUAAGUAAUAUUAAUUGAGACCUUAUUUUAUUUCAUAGCCUUCAUCUUAGAUUAUAAAGUCAUAAAAAUACAAUUCUUGAAAUUAAAUAAGAAAAUAAAAACAAAAGUUAAGUGACAGCACAAUUGAUAUAGUGAAAUUGGCCACUCUCUUGGAUAAUGAUCCUAUAUACUCCCUCUGUUUUUAUAUAAGUUUUUUUGGGAAGAAAAUUUAUAAUAAAAUAUAAAUUUGUUUUGUAAUACUACAAAAUUAUUAAUAUUAUUUUUUAAUUCUGUUCCAUACAGAAUGAUUAUUUUUUUAAGAUGUGUGGAAAAUAAAAAACAAUUUAUAAAAAGCAGAGAUAAUAUAAUAUUAAGAAGAUAUAAACUCUUCUGCCGCUGCUACACAUCUACACCAACUACUGACACACUUUACUGUCUUAGGUUCUUCACACAAAUAUGGAAGACAACCCGAAUCAGUAGAACAUCGAUAGAACACGGCUGUGAGGAUAAGAGAUGAUAAAGUAAUCAAAAUCAUAUUGGUCAAAAUAUUGUGUACAAAUUAAAUAAGAAAGUUUGAAAAACAUAAAAAUGACUUACAUUCAACAACGUUUAUAGAAGCAAAACAUAGAAAAGAUAUGAUAAUUGUCACAUAAACAAACUUUAUAAUUUUAGCCAUAUUUCUUCUCUUUUCCAUGUAAUAAAUGGUUUUAUCAUUUUAUACUUAUAAAGUUCAUCCUCUGUUACAUCAGUAAAAUAUUGUUUUAGCUCUUGCAGAAAUGCAAAAAAACACUUUGUUAAAUUAUUAUUAAAUAUCACUUCAUUAAAUUAUAAUGAUGAUCAAAUGUCCCAUAUGUUGUUUAUUAAUGUAUUAGAUAGAGAUGAUAAUUUGAUUUUAAUGAUUAUUUAUAAACUACUCACAUUAAAUAGAAUAAAGAUUCAUAAAAAUAAAUAUGGAUACAUGUUCACGCAAUUAUCCAAUAAAAUAAAUGGUAUAUAUAUGAGCAUGAAUAAUAUAUAUAUAUAUAUAUAUAUAUAUAUAUAUAUAUAUAUAUAUAUAUAAAAGAUUAAUUGAAAUACAUUUUUAGUAUAAAAGAAUUUUAUACAGUCACUUAAUUAUAACCGUUGGAUGUUGGGACAAGUUUGAUUUUUAUUUUAAAAAUCUAUAAAGUAAUGCAAAUCGAUGAUGGUGAUGAAUCGAUUGCGUAAAACUUUUUACACUGACAGUGCAUAUUAAUUAAUCCAUAUAUAUAUAUAUAUAUAUAAUAUUAUAUAUAAUAUAUAAUAUAUAAAAUUAUUAUAUUUAUAUAUAUAUUUAUAUAUAUAUAUAUAUAUAUAUAUAUAUAAUAUAUAUAUAUAUAUAUAUAUAUAUAUAUAUAUUAUGACCAAACGACAUCAAGGUGUCAAAUUUAAUAAUAUGUCAUCUUUGAUCAUUCUUUACCGCGUAUUCCUAUAAUAAAAUUCACCAUUAGAUUGAAAGCUAUUAUCAUAUAAAUCAUGUUUAUAAAAUUUAACAUCAAUCGAAAAUGAUUUGAUAUGUCAAUAAGAUGCUUGAAAACUAACUUUUAAAAAUUUCAACAAAUUGUUAUCAUUCUCUUUAACAUAUCAAAUUUUAUUUAUUUAUGUUAAAUUUUAUAGACAUGAUCUAUAUGACAAUAGAUUUUAAUCCAACAAUGAAUUUUGUUAUAGGGAUAUCUAGAAAAAAAUAUGAUAAUUGUCACAUAAACAAACUUUAUAAUUUUAGCUAUAUUUCUUUCCUUUUCCAUGUAAUAAAUGGUUUUAUCAUUUUAUAAUUAUAAAGUUCAUCAUUUGUUACAUCAGUAAAAUAUUGUUUUAGCUCUUUCAGAAAUGCAAAAAACACUUUGUUAAAUUAUUAUUAAAUGUCACUUCAUUAAACUAUAAUGAUUAUUAAAUGUCCCAUAUGUUGUUUAUUAAUGUAUUAGAUAGAGAUGAUAAUUUGAUUUUAAUGAUUAUUUAUAGAAAUAAUCACAUUAAAUAGAAUAAAAAUUCAUAAAAAUAAAUAUGGAUACAUGUUCACGAAAUUAUCCAAUAAAAUAAAUGGAUAUAUAUCUUAACAUGAAUAAAUAUAUAUAUAUAUAUCUAAAUAAAAUAAAUUAGGGUUAAGUAUAACUAUAAUACCUAAAUAAAAUAAAUAAUAAUAUAUUUAAAUUCACCACUUCUGUCUCAAGUUGAGUAGCUAUUCUCGACCAUUGUUAGGUCAUUCACAAACGAUAUCGCAACAUAUUAAUAAUUAAAAAUUAGUAGUUAAUAGAAAAAGAUAAUGCCUUUUAAUCUAAAAAUAAUCUUCGCUUUCUCAAUCGCCAAAAUAAAUAGCACAAACAUAUUCAAUCAAUAGUGACCAAUAGCGAUCGGAGACAAAUUUUCUUGUAGUAUUAUCAAAUUAGUAUCCAAAAUUCUAAUGUUGUCCUUGACUUUAAGAUGAAUGUAAUAAUUAGAGAUGGAAUAUAUAUUAAUUCCGUGUUAAAUUAAAAUAAAAUGUAAGUUAAAUUAAAGAAAAAUCUCAAUUAUUAAAAUUUUAUAGUUAAUGUAGGGUGAAAACUGACAUAAAAAAAUAAUUUUCGAUUUAAAUACUAAAGAUAUUAUAAGAUUGUAAUGAAUGUAGGAAAAAUGAAUACUUGAAUUGAUACCUAAAAUUUAUAAAAAGAGAUAGUCUAAGUAAUAUUAAUUGAGACCUUAUUUUAUUUCAUAGCCUUCAUCUUAGAUUAUAAAGUCAUAAAAAUACAAUUCUUGAAUUAAAUAAGAAAAUAAAAACAAAAGUUAAGUGACAGCACAAUUGAUAUAGUGAAAUUGGCCACUCUCUUGGAUAAUGAUCCGAUAUACUCCCUCUGUUUUUAUAUAAGUUUUUUGGAAAGAAAAUUUAUAAUAAAAUAUAAAUUUGUUUUGUAAUACUAAAAAAUUAUUAAUACUAUUUUUUAAUUCUGUUCCAUACAGAAUGAUUAUUUUUUUAAGAUGUGUGAAAAAUAAAAAACAAUUUAUUAAAAGCAGAGAUAAUAUAAUAUUAAGAAGAUAUAAACUCUUCUGCCGCUGCUACACAUCUACACCAUUUUCUGACACACUUUACUGUCUUAGGUUCUUGACACAAAUAUGGAGGACAGCCCGCAUCAUUAGAACAUCGAUAGAACACGGCUGUGAGGAUAAGAGAUGAUAAAGUAAUGAAAAUCAUAUUGGUUAAAAUAUUGUGUACAAAUUAAAUAAGAAAGUUUGAAAAACAUAAAAAUGACUUACAUGCAACGUUAUUAGAAGCAAAAAAUAGAAAAAAUAUUAUAAUUGUCACAUAAACAAACUUUAUGAUUUUGGCCAUAUUUCUUCCCUUUUCCAUGUAAUAAAUGGUUUUACCAUUUUAUAAUUAUAAAGUUCAUCCUUAGUUACAUCAGAAAAAUAUUAUUUUAACUCUUGGAGAUUUGCAAAAAAAAACCCUUCGUUAAAAUUAUUAUUAAAUGUCACUUCAUUAAAUUAUAAUGAUUAUUAAAUUUCCCAUAUGAUUAUUAAUGUAUUGCGUAUAUAUGAUAAUUUGACUCAUCUUUAAUGGUUAUUCAUAAAAUCACUUAUAAUAAAUAUAAUAAAAAUUCGCAAAAAAAAACGAAUACGAGUUCAAGUAAUUAUCCAAUAAAAUAAGCGGGUAUGAAUGUGCACAUGAGCAUUAUUGUACAAAUAUAUAUAAUAAGAUCAAAUGACAUCAAAUUGUCAAAUUUAAUAAUAUGUCAUCUUUGAUAAUUCUUUACCGCAUAUUCGUAUAAUAAAAUCUACCGUUAGAUCACUACGCCAAAUAAGGGAAAAGAGGGCGCUUAUUUUGGCCUAUAACAGCACUUUUAAGCGCCCUUUAAUCUGGCGCUGGCAUAGGUAAAGACAGCGCUUUGUUUUCCUGGAGAAAGCGCUGUCUAAAGGGCCACAUUAUAGUGCGCUUUAUGAAAAAAGCGCCCUCUGGAGUGGUCCAUAAACGGACACCUUAGAGGGCGCUUUCUGGAAAAAGCGCCCUCUAAAGUUGUCAAUGUAAAGUGUUUAGAGGGCGCUUUCUGGAAAAAGCGCCCUCUAAAGUUGUCAAUGUAAAGUGUUCAGAGGGCGCUUAUUUUUUUAGAAAAGCAGAAGGAUUUUUUUAAGCAAAAAUCUAGUUGGAAAGGGAACAAUAUCAAAAUUAACAAAAUUUUUUUCCCAAUUUGAAAAUUGUUUUUUUAAAAAAAAUUUUCUAUAAAACAAACAAUGAAUUCUUUAAAAACAUAAGAUAAAAAAAACAUAUAAUUCUCCAAUUUCCAUCUUUAACGCCAAAAAACUGGGAAAUAGACCAGCGCCCUUUAGAAGGGCGCUUUUAUUACAAAAGCGCACUCCUAAAAGUGGAGAAAAAAAUAAGGAAAGCAUACAUUGGAAAAUUAGAACCAAGCGCACUUAAGAGGGCGCUUUUGUAACAAAAGCGCACUUCUAAAGUGAGAGCGGAUAAAAAUAAUGCGUGUGAACGGGAAACCAAUAGAGGACGCCUUUAUUGAAAGCGCCCUCUAAGGGUAACCUUAAGGGCGCUUUUAUUAAGAGAGCGCUCGGUUCUUCAGUCGCAAGUUGUUACAAUUUGUCCGAGGUUGUUCCUUUAUAAGACCGUGUUUUUUGGGAAAGCGUAGGAGACGGUCGGUUUUUCAGAUCAGUGCGCGGCCGUGUGCCUCGUGGUGGGGUGCCUGUUAGAGGCGCUUCGUGUAGCGGAAUGAAAUAGGGCGUCGCGCUCUCGUCUCUAAAGUGGGUGGAUGAGAAGUUCAAAGUGGAAAAAAGUGAGAAUGAGGAAAGGGAGUGGAGGGCGACUGUACAAGUGAGUGGAUGUGCGUGGGCUGUUGUGAUUUUGCGUCGUCGUAGAGUUGGAAAGCGCCUGUCGUUGAGAGCGUGGUUACCCUUAGGGAGGUGGGUCGGCGGUUUUGUGGUUACAGAAAUGGCGGUGCUGGCGGGGCUCUGUUUCGCUCCGCUGUAGUCGAUGGGUCCCGUCGACAGUUGUACAUUUUGCCAAGGUUGUUAGACGAGCAAGGGGGGCUGGUUCUUUUGCUUGGGUAAUAGCCUGUAUGAGUAGAUUGCGCUUUUUCAGAGCGCCCUCUUAGGCCGCCCUUUAGAGGGCGCUUUUUUUUACAAAGCGGCCUCUAAGGUCCCCUUAGUACAUUGGUGUUUGAAAAUUAGUUACGUACGGUUUAGUUUUAUGCGUUGUCAAUGGUACGUGCCUGCUCUUUGUAUUUUGUCCCUUUCUCUCACAGCUAUUUGCGUGUUUACGUAAUCGGUGAGUUUCUCGUCUAGUCCUGCUGGUUCCAUGCGUGUUCUUACUGGCGAUGUACUUCUGUCCGUCGGUCGGUUUGUUGUCUCCCUCCUCACGUCGUCGUCGCGUCGCCUGUUGUUUUUUGCUGCUUUGGUUGGCGGUUCACUUGUUCACGUCACCGUUCACUGUUCACUUUUUCUUCUCCAUCGUUUACGUUGCGGCUGGUGGGUCGACCUGUGUGUUUGUUGAAGUGUUCGCUGUCUGUCGGCAGUUCUGUUACGUCCGGCGUGGUUUUGCAGCUCGUGGGUCUGGGAUUGUGUUGGGUUGCUUUUCGUUGCUAUUCCAGGGCCGUGUUGUUGACUUCUUUAGGGCAUUUUCUAAACUUAGUUUUACAUUUUGUGCAUUAUCUUUCGAUUUCGGAUGCUUUGGGGUUUACUGGUGGCUAGACACGCUGGAUUGUGAUUGGUGUUGUUGUAUUGUUUCGUUGUGGAUUAAGAUGUUCGGUAUUGAUGUGUGAAGUGGUGCUGUGGACAGCUGUUUGUGCGGGCUGCUUUUCGGGCUGGAGCGUUUUGAGUUCUGAUUUGGAUCGGCGAAGUUGUUGGUGCAUGUGUUGUCCAAAGCACCAUACGGGGGGUGUUGUCAGUUGGGUCGUCUUUGCGCAGAUUGCUAUGUGUGAGGGCUGGUGUGUGUGAGUUGGCUAUUUGGUCUUGUUGCUUAUGGUCAGUAGUGUCGUUUUGCCAUGAGAAAUGGAAAAGGGUAUAAUGUGACGAUGUGUGUGUUUGUGCCGCGGGUAUUGACAGUCGAUCUGUGGUUAUCUGUGGUUGUGGUCGUCUGGGUAUUUGUAGUUGAUUUCUACUGUUCCAGAUAUGAUAGGAUGGCUUUCAACCAAGACGAGGUACCGGGCUGGUCGCAUGUGGGGCUGUCGUGUGUGCGAGAUUGUGAUCAUUACUCGUGUGUUGGGUCACUUGCAGUUCGUUGUAGAGGAAAGAGGCGAAGUUUAUACGAUCGAGGGGAUUGAGGUUGGGUUUAUGAAGGCUUUCAUAAUUGGCGCUUGGCGGGAGAGCAUGAUGUGGGGUUGUGUAAACUGUGAUAAGUGCAUUGCUGUCUAGUGGUGCGUGGGAGAGUUUUACAACUAAUUGAGCUUCUUGAAUGGUUCAAUGGAUUUUGGCAAGUGGUACGAUUGGUUUUGCCUCUGUAUCGCGAGGGCAAGUAUAUUGUUCUCGAUUGACAUGUGAGAUGUGUGAUGAGUCACGGGUGCUGCUCAUGUCCCGGUUUGCGGUGUUUGCGGUCCGUGAUGGCGCGCUUCUUGGGUUGAAGGUUUGGCAAGGAAACUAAUGUAUGGUCGGAAGAUUCAGUCUUACCUAUAUUGUUAUAUGUUUUUUGUUGACUAUUGUUAACCCAUAUAUUGUUAUAAUAUGAUUUAUAAAACACACUCCAUUUGUAUGUUUUUUAGAGAUCCUUUCACAUCGAUGAAAGCCAGCAAAAAUAUUGUAUUCAAUUGGCCGGAAAAAGACUCCGAGGAUUUCGAUCCUUUUUGUGCAACAAAUUUCUCAAGGAUGAGGAAGGAAAAUUUUUCAAGGAGAACGGCAAUGAAGUAUGCCGAGAUUAUUUCAGCCGAUGAAUGGGAUAACUUUGUCGCCAAACGAAGAAACGAAAAAUUCCAUGUAAUUUCUAUUAAUUAUGGUAUUAUACAAUUGUAAGUUACUUGGUUCUAAUAUGCCUUAAACUUUUUAUCCAGGAAGUAAGCGACAUAAAUUAGCGAAAAGGGCAUUCAAAACCCGCGUAUCUGUACAAAAGGGGUACGUGUGCUGCGAGCUGAGCAUACAAGGUGUAAUCAAAUGCAUGAGCUUAUACAUUGACUGUAUAAUGAUAUAUGAUCUUAUAAUCUCAUUCAAUGUGUUAGCUAGCCGAGGAGAAAGUGACGCAACAUCUCUUCCGGACCACGUAUUAUGGAAGGCUGCUCGGGUGGGAGGAUGGGGCUGUCGUUGAAGCGGUCCAAAAUGUUUAUGACUAAUGUGUAAGUAUAUGUGACAUUAUUUCUUUAAUUAUACUCGAAAAUUUGUUAGACAUAUAAUUCAUUUUAAUCUCCUCUAAUAAUAUUCAGGAGACUUUAUCAAACCGACCUUCAACGCAGGUCAGAUGCAAGCGUACUUGCGAGUACUAAAUUUCUGAGUAUUCCGGUCGUGGUAGGGGGUAAGGGUUUGGUGUGACUCCGUCGUCAUUUUAUAAAAAAACAAAAACAAAAAAAUCCUACCAACAAAGAGGUGAUGGAGACCUGGCGAGUUAAGGGCACAAUAUCCAACUGAACAAAACGAGAAUGCAAGGUAUAGGAGGAAAGGUGCGCUUCCGAGGCAAAAGAUACUAGUGACCGAGCUAGUAUCAAUCAUCAAACCGAAUUUCCCGAGGUAUAUAUAUAUGUUAUUAUGAAAUAAAAAAUAGCACUUUUUUCUUGACACAUAUACUAGAGUUAACAAUAACAUUUAUUAUUGGUUUAAGGCAUUCACCUUGUCAGCUUGUAUCUAUCGUACCGCAACUUAUCGCAUGGUUGGCAAGGGAAAAGUGCACAAUACUUCGGGUGAAUUACUUCACCAUAAUCCCUCCCGGUGGGAUUGUGAUUGAAAGGUUGUGGUGACCCUCGUAUUAGAUACGAGCCGCGUCUACCAUUCCCCGACGUUGUGUGCAGAGGACAACGUUGUGAUGCAGAUGCAGUCGGAUCUUGUGUGGUUGUGCCGUCAGUCUAAUUUUCCCUAUGCCGAGGUAUAUAGUUCUAAAUGAUUAUGAAUAUUUAUAUUCACAUUUCAAUUCAGCUACAAUUAUGAAUUUUAAUCAAUCCUUAUUACAUGGUAAUGUUUAGACUCCUACAAGACCCACCCUAAAGCUGGUAAGCGGGAUUUCAAGACGCAUCGAGGUGCUGCAUCUCAAAAAGGAGUACAAUAAUAUAUAUCCCAUUGAAUUAUAUACACAACGAUUUUUUGGCAUCACAAAAAGUAAUGAUUAUUUUAAUAUGAAUUUUUAGGUUCCCGGUCGAAAGUUGAAAGCGAUGGUAAGGUAUUCCACGGAUCGAGAUCAUCAACGACGGCCGGGACAAAAUCUCAAAUUAUGAUGCGUCUUGAGAAAAUGGUGGAAGAGUCCGAUUAUGAUGCAACAACUUUCGUUAUGAUGCGUCUUGAGAAAUCUCAAAUUAUGAUGCAACAACUUUUGAGCACGACGAAUUGGGCAUCGCUAUCAUUCAUACAUACAUAUGGUAUUCCGAUCAUCUAUAAUUUACUUAGUUGAACAAUUUAUUUACACACUUCAAUGUAAGUCUAAUAUUUAUUAUGUUUCUAUUUAAGGUAUAUGUAUGACAAAUUGAUGCGGGGAACUGAAUUGUGUAACCGUUUCAAUUUUAUUGCUGCUUCCCGUGUCAACGCAACGUUAAUAUCGAAAAAUCCAACAUCCGUAAAGAAUGAUCUAGUCGAUACGAUUCAUGCGGCCGGCAAUAUCUACAGCGCAGUUGUAUUUUUUACCGUUUUUUCUUAUUCGGCAACCGGUUGUGGAUUUUCUUUCUAAUAAUUUUCAUUCUAUCAUCUAUGUAUAUCUUUUACGUAAAAAUUUCAUUCAUGCUAAAUUUUUUGUUUUAUUUACAGUGGUCACUGGGUUGUUUGCUAUGGAUCUUUCGAGACUAAUAGUGUAUUAUCUCAAUUCGUUAUCGGUGAUUGGAGUAAUAUCCGGUUUGAAGAAGACGGUUGACACGUAAGUGAAUUUCCCUAAAUUCUGUGUUAUUUCUAUAUUUAAUAUGUCUGUCAGAUUGAUCUCAAUAUACGUUUUUAUUUUGUUAGGGCAAUAAUAAAAUUUAGAUCGAAAAAGAAUUACCGCAUUAGGAAGGACAUUACCUGGGUCAGAGUUCAGGUAAAUAUUAAGUAUCUUAUUUUUGCUUAUAAUAGUGUUUUGUUUUUGCUAUAAUAAGUGUUGUAAGAAAUUAACUAUAUAUAUAUUGUUUGUUUUCUGUGUAGUGUCCUCAGCAAAAUAAUUCGGUCGAUUGCAGAUUUUUUGUAUUGAGGAUUUAUGAGAGAUAUCAUUGCGUUGAAUCGUAUAGACAUCCCAAAAAUGGUAUGGAAUAAUAACUUAGGGUUUAUUUAAUAUUAUCGGAUAACUCAUCUAAUUUGUUACUAAAUCAUGAAUAUGUUUUAUCUCUUAAUUGUAGUACUUGAGGAAUACAAAUUUACUCAAGAGCUCAUUUGGAUGAAAUGAAGGAUGAAUUGUGUCAAUUCAUUGUUGAUCAAGAAAUCAUAUAGCUAGGUUGUAUAUUGUUGUACAUAUAUGUAUGGAAUGUUGUUGUUGUAUGCUGUUGUUGUAUAUAUGUUGUAUAUUGUUGUUGUACUUUUACUAAAUCAUGAAUAUGUUGUUGUAUAUUGUUGAUCAAAGAAUCAUAUAUUAAUGUUGUAUAUAUGGAGAUUAAUGUUGUAUAUAAAUGGAUUCAUGUUGUAUAUAUCAAUGGAUUAAUGGUGUAUAACAUUGGAUUAAAGGAUGAAAUCAUAUGAAUUUUACACUUUGCAGCAUGCGAACAGGUUACCAAUAAAUAUCCACUGUUUUUCAAACAAUUUUUUUAAAAUAACUAACACUUUAGAGGGGCGCUUUCUGUAGGAAGCGCCCUCUAAACACUUUACAUUGAGAACUUUAGAGGCGCUUUGUAGANUUAGAGUGCGCUUUGUUACAAAAGCGCCCUCUAAAGUGCGCUGUCUAUUCCAAUAGUAUGCUCCUUAUUUUUUCUCUUCACUUUAGAGUGCGCUUUUGUAAUAAAGCGCCCUCUAAGGGGCGCUGUCUAUUCCAGUUUUUGGCGUAGUGGAUUGAAAUAUAUUAUCAUAUAGAUCAUGUUUAUAAAUUUAACAUCAAUUGAAAUGUAUUUGAUAUGUCAACUAGAUGCUUAAAAAUUAAUGUUUUACAAAACUUCAACAAAAUUGUUAAUUUUGAUCAUUAUCUUUAAUAUAUCAAAUGAUUUUUUAUUGAUGUUAAGUUUUAUAGACAUGAUCUAUAUGACAAUAGUCCAACAUUGGAUUUUGUUAUUAGGAUAUCUAGUAAAGAGUUAUCGAAUGUUUCAUGUUAUUAAGUUCGACACAUUGGUGUCAUUUGAUCUCUCUCUCUCUCUCUCUCUCUCUCUCUCUCUCUCUCUAUCUAUCUAUCUAUCUAUCUAUCUAUCUAUCUAUCUAUAUAUAUAUAUAUAUANAUAUAUAUGAAUUAUUAUAAAAAACUAAAUUUCUAUCAAUUUUCAAAAAUACAUCAAUAUUAAACUAUUACAUAUUUAAUCUAAGUGUUAGUUUAUUUAGUAAUUCAACAGUAAAUUUUUUGAUAACCUUUUAAUGUUCUUAAAAACUUAAAACAAUAUGAUAUUUUAUACUUGAUAGACAAAUCUAUUGUGGAACUUUAUAAAUAAAAAUAUAUAUUAAAAAAUAAACAUAUCAUCAAUUUUCUAUGAAAAACCGUGAGAGGAAGACCAAAAUUGUUUGAAUUUAAAAUAGAAAGAUUAAUUUCGUGAUUCAGACAAUAUUUUUACUAGAAAUGCGAGUAACGGGUAUGGGUAUUGUAACAUCAUAAACCCUAAAACUUAUUUUAAGAAUUAUAGGACAAUCAAGGGUGUCACCAAUGACAAAAACUUUAAGAAAACAAACAUUUAACAAUCAGCGGAACAUUGCAGCGGAAUUACUAACGUUAAUCAACAUUUGUCAUCGCACGCUCACCUUCACUUAGGGUAUCAUGGCGGCGAUAUAUAUUUCUAUCAAGUUUCAAAAAUACAUCAAUGUUAAACCAUUACAUAUUUAAUCUAAGUGUUCGUUUAUUUAAUAAUUCAAUAGUAAAUCUUUUGAUAACCUUUUAAUGUUCUUAAAAAUUUAAAAUAAUAUGUUAUUUUAUACUUGAUAGAUAAAUCUAUUGUGGAACUUUAUAGAUAAAAAUAUAUAUUAAAAAAAUAAACAUACCAUCAAUUGUUUAUGAAAAAUAUGAGUGGGAGACCAAAAUUGUUUGAAUUUAAAAUAGGGGAACUAAUUUCGUGAAUCAGACAAUAUUUUUACUAGAAAUGCAGGUAACGGGUACGAGUAUUGUAACACCCUAAACCCCGCAACUUAUUUUAAGAAUUACACGACAAUCAAGGGUGUCGCCAAUGACAAAACCUUUAACAAAACAAACAUUUAAUAAUCCACGAAACAUUGCAGCGGAAUUACUAACGUCAACCAACAUCUGUCAUACACGCUCAUAGUCACAACAAGACAUUUAACCUUAAUUUCCAGUUAAAUAAAAUAUUUUCAAAAAUAGAGUUCUCAUAAGCAACUCUCAACAACUCCAAAAUAGAAUCAAUUAAAGUUUUAAACUCCAAUAAAACAUAUAAUGUUCCCGACCCCGAUGUUAUAAAAUAAGAGCAAGACUUCUAAUAAUGAAAACUAAAUGAAGUAACUCCAUGAGCUAACUUACAUUUACAACAGCAAACUCCACUUCUGAGUAUCUGCAAGAUGUCCAUGGUGGACAACAUCAAAGUAAAGGGGGUGAGAAACAACAAACCAAUAUAAAUAGUGUAAAGAAUGCUAACAUAGAGAAUACACAACAAACAAACAUUCAUUACACAUCCAACAAUAAUAUGUUCUCACACCCAAAUCAUAACAACACUUAGAGAUUCACAUCCAAUCAAUAACAUGUUCUCACACUCAAAUCAUGACAAUAUUUACAUAUUCACAUCCAAUCAAUGAGAUCAUGAAUAAUCAACUACAUAUACAACAAUAUAUGUAAAUGUACUCCACAACUGACUUAUUAUGCAUGAGGUACCAUUCAUGAACACUCAUGUUCAUCUCGCUCCUGAUCUCCAUCAUAGGACUAGAUCACACCAAAUCGUUAUCAUCACCAUAAAUAACACUUCAUCGAUGCCCACCUAAAACCGACUACCCGCUCCCGAUCCCCACCAUAGGACCAGAGCACACUAAAGUUUGUUACCAUCAUCAUAGGUAACGCUUUAUCGAUUCCCAUAUUAAACCAGCUACUCACUCUCGAUCCAAACCACCAGACUAUAGCACACCAAAACUGGAAUGAAGUUCGUACACCAUGAUGCAUGACUCUCAACAACAUGCAUUAUCACCAAAAAGUUCACCAAAAUGAUCACCAUACACAUCUAAUCAUUUAUGCACUACAUCAUUCAUCAUACACAAUAAUCAAUCAAUGUUAUGACACCAAUAAACAACAACAAAUAACAUCAACUCAAUAAACAUAACAUCAUAAUCAUUUAUCCAUGUUACUUUACCAAAACAACAAUACAUCAUCGUAUAAACUAACGAUUCACUAACCGAACAUACAAGUCAUCACAAAUAUCCCUAUAGUAGGUAAACGACUAGAACUCAAACAUUUCACCAAACUCUACCGUGAGGUAGCUCUGCGUGUUAUCUUUCUAACGUUUCAAACGGUGCGUCAUUUGGACCUACGAAUCAAAAGCGGCCAAAAUCUUCGGACAACACAACAAAAACAAAAGCAUAACUUUUCACCAUUUGGCCUAUGACAAUCGAUUGUCAGCAAAAUACGUUUCGCUAUUGACUUCAUAAAAAAAUACUUUUUUGGGAUAUGCAAUCAAUUGUCAUCUAGUGCAAUCAGUUAUCAGCAAAACACGUUUCGCUACUGACUUCAUAAAAAAUCACUUUUUUCGGAUAGGUAACCGAUUGUGAUUUGGUGCAAUCGGUUGCACUGAUAUUUCUUUUCAAAAUUUGUACUAAUGCAAUCGAUUGUUACUGUAGUUUUUUUUCCAAAAAUUCGCGUUUUCAUCAUACGAUUUCCACCCCCUUACCCCUAAACCUUCAUACACGUCUCCAACUAAUUUUCCCCAAAAUCCAUUUAUUCAAAAACAAAUUUGACAGUGAUUCAUGUUAGCAUAAUCAUUAACAUAAACAACACAUAUUUCACUAUAAUCCAUAAGAAUCUGAUCAAUAACUUUAACAUCAAAUUCCUCAUCAAUGGCAUAACCUCAUACAUACAUAUUCAGGAUCAUUCAAACAUAUAACACAAGAUCAAUCAACCAAUUUUCAGAUUUCAUUAUAUAACACAUCAUCAAAAAAAAACCUAGAACACUGAUGAGAUUAAGGACUUCUCAUCUCUACCCCCAUCAUGUAAUACACCUAAAUUGGUAGCCCUCCCCCUCCCCCUUACCUUAAACUUCCAUCAGUAUGCAACUUUAAACUCUAACAAUGGAGUCUUCCUCUAGCCCUAGCAUUUGCCUCUUUUCAACACAAAAUUUUGUUUACGUAAAUUUUUCCAAAACUCUCUUCCUUUAAAUAUAACUUAGGGUUUUCUACACACUUCUUUCCAAUUACCUUAUUAACCCUUACCUUUCUUAAUUCAGAUUAUUACCCCAAACUCCCUAACUCAUUGCUCCCGUCUAUUUCUCUAAAUCUCACUGAUAACCCAAUUCUAUUAUUUUACUAUUUAUUUAAUUAAUUCAAAUAAAAUAUUAUUUAUUCUAAUAAUUAAUCAAAAUUCUAGUUAAUUCUAAACAAUCACACCAACUCUUACUCUCUCUAUACCGAUACUCCAAGGAUACUUACCUCCCCACAAUCACACAACAAUAAUUUAAGAACAUCAAUCAAUCAGAUAAAUUAUAAAUAAUUCAAUUAAGUUAAUUAAUCAAAUUAAUUUGGGGUGUUACAGUUAUGGGUACUUACAUACCUAAAGGACACGAGAAGAGUGUUGAUAUUGAUACCGAAGCGGGUAUGAACUCGAAUACGGGGAUAUUUUCAAUAUAUUAGUAUGAGAAUGAGUACUAUAGUACCCUAUCCAAACCUUAUCCAUUGUCAUCUCUAGUUUGUGUUUCUCUCUUUAACACGUAAUACAAUUAGAGUCGGGAUCCAUUUUAGUACGGAAAUUACAUAAUACAAAUUAAUUUUGUUAAAAUAAAAAAUCAUAUUUAAUCUCCUACAAAAUUUGACCGGGUCAUAUUAAUCACUCAGUUAAUAUUUUUUCAAACUAAUUUUUUUCCUACUUUUAAUCUGUAAUUGGUGUGUCAUGUGUAUUAUUUAUGCCACAUACAUUUUUUAAUGGGUAGUGUUAACUUGUACCCCAAUGGCACAUGUUAAAAAACCCACAAAUAAAAAAAUUGUAUUAAAAAAAACAAUAAAAACAUUAAUUAUAAAAUUAUAUUAAAUUUAAGACACAAUUUUCAAUAAUUUUUUACUAUAUUUAUCUCUUAACUUGUAUCCUUGGGGCACAAGUUAGCAUUACUCUUUUUUUAAUAAUAUGAGGACAUCUUAUGCCACAUGCAUUUUUUAAUAAAUACAAGGGUCAUAUUAAUCACUCUAAUUUUUUAUUUUUUAUUAUUUGAAUAUUAAAUUGACUUUUAUUUUUAUUUUUAAACAAUUUAGAUUUGAAAAUAUAAAAAAAAAAGUCAAAAUUUGUUAUUAGAAGAAAUUGAACUUAGGGACCUUUAAGUCACAUCCUAUGCUUUUACCUGUAGACUAAUUUAAAUUGAUGUCAAAUAAUUCACAUGAUUUAUAGUGAUAUUAAACAACUCUGAAUUUAAGAUUAAAAAAUAAUUUGAAAUAAGUAAAUAUGCAUUUGUGUUUGUGUGUUAUUUGAUAAGAUGUAAAUCUUAUUUUAAAUAGUAACACACAAAUAAAUAGGAUUAAUAAAUUUAAGUAAUGAAUUAAUUUUAUAAAAUAUUUAAAUAGAUCAAACUAAAUAAUAAUCAAUUAAUUUAAUAGUAGUUCAAUUAAAUAUUAAUACAUUGUUUUCUAUUUCAUUAGUUAUAUUUAGGAUUUACAUUUUAUUAAUUUUGAAAUAAAUUUAAUAUUUAUGUGUUAUUUGAAAUAAGAAAAUGAUUAAGUAUUUAUUAUGAAUUAUUAAUUUAAGUAUUCAUUCUUAGAAAUAUUAACAACAGAAACUAAUUGAUCAAGUGGUAAAGUGACUACCAUUUAACUUGAAGGGUUCGUGAAUUUUGUAUUUUUUGUUUUAAAUUCGUAAACAUUUAAUGGUACUACAAAUCACGGAGUUAUUUAUCACCAAUUUACAUUGACAUAGUGGUAAAGGCAUAUGAUGUGAAUUAAAGGUCUCUGGAUUCAAUUCUUUUUAAGAACAAUUUUUUAUAUAUUUUAAAAUCUAAAGUUUUUUAAAAUCAAAUUGAAAAAAAUUUAGUAUUCACAAAAAUGGAAAUUACAAAUAUAAUCCAAUAUAAUCAUCCACGUGAUUAUUUUGAAAAAUGUAAUUGACAUAAAUAUUACACAUGGAAAUCCAAUCACAUUCUUCUUCUUU